GUGAGUAGCUGGAUUACUCGCUGUCUCUCUCUCUCUACAAUCUGUUUGUGUUCUAAGUGGUGAAGACCUAGAGGAGGAGGAGGUGAAGACCUAGAGGAGGUGAAGACCUAGAGGAGGAGGAGACCAGGCAGAGGAGGAGGAGACCAGGCGGAGGAGGAAGAGACCAGGAGGAGGAGGAGGAGGUGAAGACCAGGAGGAGGAGUAGGAGACCAGGAGGAGGAGGUGAAGACCAGGAGGAGACCAGGAGGAGGAGGUGAAGACCAGGAGGAGGAGGUGGUGAAGACCAGGAGCAGGAGGUGGUGAAGACCAGGAGGAGGAGUAGGAGACCAGGAGGAGGAGGAGGUGAAGACCAGGAGGAGACCAGGAGGAGGAGGAGGUGAAGACCAGGAGGAGGAGGUGGUGAAGACCAGGAGGAGGAGAUCAGGAGGAGGAGGGGGUGAAGACCAGGAGAAGGAGGUGGUGAAGACCAGGAGGAGGAGGUGAAGACCAGGAGGAGGAGGUGGUGAAGAACAGGAGGAGGUGGAGACCAGGAGGAGGAGAACAGGAGGAGGAGGAGGAGACCAGGAGGAGGAGGUGAAGACCAGGAGGAGACCAGGAGGAGGGGGUGAAGACCAGGAGGAGGAGGUGGUGAAGACCAGGAGGAGGAG
ensembl:lncRNA